GAUGAACGCUGGCGGCGUGCCUAAUACAUGCAAGUCGAGCGAACGGAUAAGGAGCUUGCUCCUUUGAAGUUAGCGGCGGACGGGUGAGUAACACGUGGGUAACCUACCUAUAAGACUGGAAUAACUUCGGGAAACCGGAGCUAAUGCCGGAUAACAUUUGGAACUGCAUGGUUCUAAAGUAAAAGAUGGUUUUGCUAUCACUUAUAGAUGGACCCGCGCCGUAUUAGCUAGUUGGUAAGGUAACGGCUUACCAAGGCAACGAUACGUAGCCGACCUGAGAGGGUGAUCGGCCACACUGGAACUGAGACACGGUCCAGACUCCUACGGGAGGCAGCAGUAGGGAAUCUUCCGCAAUGGACGAAAGUCUGACGGAGCAACGCCGCGUGAGUGAUGAAGGUUUUCGGAUCGUAAAACUCUGUUAUUAGGGAAGAACAAAUGUGUAAGUAACUGUGCACAUCUUGACGGUACCUAAUCAGAAAGCCACGGCUAACUACGUGCCAGCAGCCGCCGCGG
rnacentral:rRNA from 1 species